rnacentral:tRNA from 18 species
CAAAGAAUAGUUUAUAAAAAUAAUAAUUUUGGAGAUUAUAGAUAAAGAAAUUCUUUUUCUUUGA